rnacentral:rRNA from 1 species
AGCGCCCUACGGGAGGCAGCAGUGAGGAAUAUUGGUCAAUGGUCGGGAGACUGAACCAGCCAAGCCGCGUGAGGGAGGAAGGUACAGAGUAUCGUAAACCUCUUUUGUCAGGGAACAAAGACUGGGACGCGUCCCCGGAUGAGUGUACCUGAAGAAAAAGCAUCGGCUAACUCCGUGCCAGCAGCCGCGGUAAUACGGAGGAUGCGAGCGUUAUCCGGAUUUAUUGGGUUUAAAGGGUGCGCAGGCGGUCUGUUAAGUCAGCGGUCAAAGCCCGGGGCUCAACCCCGGCCCGCCGUUGAACCUGG